rnacentral:misc_RNA from 1 species
AUGAGUGGUUUUGGUGAUGAUGCAGUUGAUGAGCUGAUCGAAGCCUACGAAAAAAAAUAUGGGAGGAGAAAAGAGUGGCGAAUUCUCAGAGCUAUUCGGAGCCGUUGGACCACCACCCCACCGGUAGAAGCGGUGGACCGCAAUGAGGUUAUCCGUGAGGUGUGGCACGCUGAGUUGAAUCGACUGAAACCCUCCCAAAGGGAAACGCGAGUGAAAGCACUGCAUAAUACCCUUGGGACGCACAAACA